rnacentral:lncRNA from 1 species
CAACAUCAAUUGUUACCACCACAAGAGUAGCACCAAUUGUGUACCAGAAAUUGAAUUAGGGGAAAAGUAAAACCAAUAAACAAAAGGAAAGGAGGUUUCUUUUUAGUGAAACAUUGGCACCACACGUACGAUUGACACGUUUACCAUUGAAAUUCCACGACACAAAAGAAAAGAAAUUGGUAGACUAUUGGAUUAUUGAUAGCUUUAUUACAAAAGUAGGUUACAAGUUCCCCCUCCAAAUCAAGACUACAUUAUUAGUACUUCAAUUUUUUCAAUUCAAUUCGUUGGCUCCGUUUUUCGUGCUCUGGGAAUUCAACGGUGAAUCCUUGCCGCAACGAAUGCAGGUUCCAAUGGGGCCGCAAAUGCAUGGAGGAGUACAAAAGCAAGGCAUCGGGCCGGGUAUGAAUUGAUUAACAUCCCUUCCUUCCGCUCCAAUAUUUGAAGUCUCACCUGCAAUUGCAUUGUUAGAUAAUACUAUAUUUUGAAAUCCUAUUCACAUUUUCUAACUACCAAAAUAGCGAUUAAAUACCUGCGACGAAAAUCAAAAGCACGACCAUGAAAACCAACUUCAUAGAUGUCUUAUCCAUCUCUCUUUUUCUUUAAUUAAAUAUGUAUCUUUGGAGCUCUGCAAUAUGUAUCGAUAGUUGUAAGUGUUUGAGAUGUGUGAGUUUGAAGACUUUGGUUUGGUUGAUUUAUAUACUGUGAAUGAAGAUGAGGUAGUUGUAAUGGAU